rnacentral:lncRNA from 1 species
CGAAAAGUAGUAUUGCCGUUUUUUUGGGUUAUUUUUUAUUUUAUUUUUUCAGUGGGAGGAGGCAAGGUGAAGAACAGAGGACCUCACAGACUUUCCUGCCCUGCUCUGGGUUUCUGGUUUCUGCGCUCUUCUAAGAAUUUGGCCAAUUUGAAGAAGCCGUAUUGGCAACAGCCAGUGGGGUUCCUAAUUAAGGUUUCUGAACACUUCUUUAGAGUAAACGGUGAAGAAAGGGCCAGAAGUUUCCCAGUCUCUGCCUCCAUGCUCAUCUAUUUCCCAGGGUGGAACUGAACAGAUGCAGCUUCUGGCUCACAGCAUCUUUGCAGCCUGUCAGGAUUGCUUUUAGCUGCUGUUCACAACUUCUGGGGCAGCGUAAGGUACACAGGCUUCAUUUUUCACCAGCUGCAGGGGAAUUUUAUAAAUAGAACUGUAUAGGAGGCUUACGCUCGCUGCCUUUCAAAGAUCUUACCAGUUCAUUCUAGCAGGAUCCAGUGUCUGUUGCACAGUUAACAGUCCCACCGACAAAAAUUCAGCAGAAAUCACAAAACUGUUCCAAAGUACACUUGUAUUCUAGCCUCUCAAAAAGAAUCUAAUUUCAUUUCACAACCAGUAUACAGAUAUCAUGCAGCCAAAACCUGAUGCAUGCACCCUCAUGCAUUCUUCAGGUCAAAAAUUUGACUUAAAAUUAAAAAAAAGUAUUUUUAAAAAAUAUGUUUGAGGAUAUUUUGCUUUCACGGAUUAUGUUUUCAAGUUUCCCUGCAAUUAUGAAGGUUAAAUAAGUGGUCUUUCGGGGAAGGGGGCUGGCUACUUGUUUUCUAAAGUGUUAGAAUCCUUAAUACCAAAGGUUCACAGAUCUCAUGAGCCAGCCACACUGCUCUAAGGGUGAUAACUGAAUUCAAUUUGUUCUCAUCUUCCUGCUGGUAAAUUGACUCAAGUCAGAAAAUUCUUUGGGACAAACACUUUCUUAAUUCUUCCAUGUUAAAUGCAUCUUGUGCAAUUGCCACUGCACUGCUAAUAAUAAAAACGUGGACCACAGGCUGCUAAUUCUCA